UUGUCAAUGAUGAGGGAGGGAGGAAGGGAGGGAGAGAGAGGGGGAAAGAGAAUCCAGAGCAGAGAGAGAAAGUAGUAGACUGAACAAGAACAAGGCCAGCAACUGGACAUGGCCAGGCUAUCCAUGAGAGCAUGUUUGCUUAAAGGUUUCCUCCAAAAUCUGUCUGGUGUGAGGAGGGCCACCUGACUGUGAGAGAAAGGAGAGCAAAACAAGACAAAAGGACUUGAAGGAAUUUGCUUUGCAAUGACUGCUCUCAGCAAUAACUGCUUCUCUCUCUGGAAAUGGGUGGAUGGAAAUGUGAAAGCUUUAGAAGUUCCGAGGAUCUACAAAAGUGUCUGAGGACAUGACAGCUAGUGUUUAAGAUAUAUAAAUGCACGUUGUAAAGGUAUAAGAAAGUAAUCUAGGACUGGUCAGAUGGCUCAGCAGGUAAGAGUGUUAGACCCCCCGGAAAACUCAGGCCUUCGGGGUCUCAGCCCAGGAUGGCGGUCACCCCAAUCACCAGGCGGAUUCGAAAGCUUGCUGCAAACAGCAUUAGGCUUUAUUGUUUAACGAGCUAACCCCAUGUCAGCUCGGGUCUUUCACCCACCCAGCAUGGUGGAUGGCUAGCAAAGACAGCUCAAAGUGGCUGCAUAGAGAUCUUGUAGGGCAGCGUAAGGGGAGUAUCUAGGGGUACGCACAGGCUCAGGAUUGGUGUGCCUCCAGGCUUGGAGGGCUUGCCCUGUGUUGAUUGGCCAACUGGUUGUUAUGGCCCAUAGGUCCUCCCAGGGUGGUUGCUAUGCUCUGUGUGUCAUUGCUGUGCGCUUGUCCGUAAAGUACACCCAGGGUAGUAAAGCAUAGCGCUACCAGCUAACUUCUGAUUGGUUCCUUGUCACGAGGCAGGAACCUAACCUCUGAGACCAAGACAAGGUCAGAAAAGCACGUGUUACUGUCAUGGUUGCCAAAAGGGGCAGGCAUCUGACCUUAGUGACUCAGACAAGGUCAGACAAAUACGUGUUCGGCUGUUAUGGCUACCGAAAUGGGGAGCUGGUCCCUUCAAGAGCACUGGCUGUUCUUCCAGAGGACCAGGGUUCAAUUCCCAGCACCCACAUGGUGGCUUACAACCAUCCCCCCCCACCCCGAGACAGGGUUUCUCUGUGUAGCUUUGGAACCUGUCCUGGAACUCACUCUGCAGACCCAUCUGGCCUCAAACUCAGAGAUCCGCCUGCCUCUGCCUCCAGAGUGCUAGGAUUAAAGGUGUGCACCACCCCUGCCCAGCUCACAAUCUUCUGUAAUUAGAUCUGGUGCCCUCUUUUGGAGUUCAGGCACACAUGCAGGCAGAACACUGUAUACAUAGUAAAUAAAUCUUUUAAAAAAUUCUUAACACUGUAUACAUAGUAAAUAAAUCUUUUAAAAAAUUCUUGUUUCUUUACAAACUACUGUUGUGUGAUGUUUUACUCUUGUUUUGGGGGGACCCACCACCCAGCUCCCAAAUAAAUCACACAUGGAGGCUUAUUAGUUAUGAAUACCCGGCCUUAGCUUGGCUUGUUGCUGGGAAUUGAACUCAGGACCUCUGGAAGAGCAGUCAGUGCUCUUAACCUCUGAGCCAUCUCUCCAGCCCAUCUUUUCUCCUUUAUUUCUGUAUAUCUUACUUUCACACUUACUCGGUGGCUGGCUGAGUGGCUGACCCCUGACCUUCUCUCCAUGAUCUCUUGUUCAUUGCCCCUCACAUUUAUCCUUUGUGCUUGCCAGCCCCCCCCCCCAAUUCUCCUGCCUCGCUUUUGGCUGUUCAGUUCUUUAUGAGCCCAUCAGGAGUUUUAGACAGGCAAAGUAACACAGCUUCACAGAGUUAAACAAUACAACAUAAACAAAAACACACCUUAAAAUAUUCCCCAACAAACCUCUUGAAAACCAUUACAGAAAAUCAGCAAGGAUUAGAUUUACUAACAGAGAGAGGUGGUCUUUGCCUCUUCCUCAGGGAGGAAUGUCAUAUAUAGUAACAGACUGGACAAUUCUAGACAGAUUUCCAAAAAUGUAAGGAACGGCUUGAUACCUCUGGCUGGUGGCUCAUAGUGCAGUAUGGUAUUCCAUACCUCCCUUCUUAACCCUGUUCUUUGUUUUUAUGGUUUUUCAAGACAGGAUUUCUCUAUGGUUUUGGAGCCUUUCCUGGAAAUCUCUCUGUGGACCAGGCUGGCCUCAAACUCAGAGAUCCACCUGCUUCUGCCUCCCGAGUGCUGUGAUUAAAGACGAGUGCCGCCACCACCACCCAGUUCUUCUCUUCUUAAUCCUACUAGAUGUACCCUGUCUUAUAAACUUCUUGGCUAGGUUUCAACAAAUUCAAAAGAUUUUCUUAAAAUGUUCAUUGUUUUGCCUCAUUUAUGUCUGUGUGAGGGUAUUGGAUCCCCUUUAACUGGAGUUACAGUUGUGAGCUGCCAUGUGGUUGCUGGGAAUUGAACCCAGGUCCUCUGGAAGAGCAGCCAGUGCUAACCUCUAAGUCAUCUCUCCAGCUCCUGAGAGAUUUCUAACCAGACCUUUACCCAGUUCUUAUUUCAAGAUUAUCAGCCCCUAGCUAUGGGACCUG
ensembl:lncRNA